CCUACGGGAGGCAGCAGUGGGGAAUUUUGGACAAUGGGCGCAAGCCUGAUCCAGCCAUGCCGCGUCUGGGAAGAAGGCCUUCGGGUUGUAAACCACUUUUGUCAGGGAAGAAACGGCUUUUUCUAAUACAGAGAGCUAAUGACGGUACCUGAAGAAUAAGCACCGGCUAACUACGUGCCAGCAGCCGCGGUAAUACGUAGGGUGCAAGCGUUAAUCGGAAUUACUGGGCGUAAAGCGUGCGCAGGCGGCUUUGCAAGACAGAUGUGAAAUCCCCGGGCUCAACCUGGGAACUGCAUUUGUGACUGCAUGGCUAGAGUACGGUAGAGGGGGAUGGAAUUCCGCGUGUAGCAGUGAAAUGCGUAGAUAUGCGGAGGAACACCGAUGGCGAAGGCAAUCCCCUGGACCUGUACUGACGCCCAUGCACGAAAGCGUGGGGAGCAAACAGGAUUAGAUACCCUGGUAGUCCACGCCCUAAACGAUGUCAACUGGUUGUUGGACGGCUUGCUGUUCAGUAACGAAGCUAACGCGUGAAGUUGACCGCCUGGGGAGUACGGCCGCAAGGUUGAAACUCGAAAUGAAUUGACGGCGNGAGAGNGCGAGACGACGACGAGGGAGGAGG
rnacentral:rRNA from 1 species